GGCGUUUCUCUUCUCUCUUCGCUUGCUUCUUCUCUUUAUCUUCGUGACUCCCAGGCUAGCGUUUUCUCUUCGCCGAAUUGGUUGCCGCCAUGGCUGCGCAAGGCCAAAAUGUUCCUGUACGGUCCACUGCGACUUUCCGGUCACGGUUUUCUACUCUUCCUUGGGCCAAAGUUGUUAGUAAGGUGCACAAAGACAUGGAUGAACAGAUGUACAAAGUGGAUAGAAUUACAAAUGCAAAGAGAGCCAACAAAUAUCUGCCCACUCGUGAAACUAGUUUUUUCUUUGAGAACAUUUAUCCCAUUCUGUAGCAAGUUGUGCCAAAACAAUGUUUCUGCUGAUUCUUUUUUUUUUCUGAAUAUUGUUCAACAACACAAGAAUUUACCCUUCACUUUACUCUUCAAUUUUAUAUAUACACUGAACAUUUGUUUUUUUUUCUCA